CGAACGCUGGCGGCAGGCCUAACACAUGCAAGUCGAGCGGCCGUAGCAAUACGGCAGCGGCAGACGGGAGAGUAACACGUGGGAACGUGCCCUAUGGUUCGGAAUAACGCAGGGAAACUUGCGCUAAUACCGAAUAAGCCCUUACGGGGAAAGAUUUAUCGCCAUUGGAGCGGCCCGCGUCCGAUUAGCUAGUUGGUGAGGUAACGGCUCACCAAGGCGACGAUCGGUAGCUGGUCUGAGAGGAUGACCAGCCUCACUGGGACUGAGACACGGCCCAGACUCCUACGGGAGGCAGCAGUGGGGAAUAUUGGACAAUGGGCGCAAGCCUGAUCCAGCCAUGCCGCGUGGGUGAUGAAGGCCCUAGGGUUGUAAAGCCCUUUCAGCGGGGAAGAUAAUGACGGUACCCGCAGAAGAAGCCCCGGCUAACUUCGUGCCAGCAGCCGCGGUAAUACGAAGGGGGCUAGCGUUGCUCGGAAUUACUGGGCGUAAAGCGCACGUAGGCGGCUUUCUAAGUCGGGGGUGAAAUCCUGGAGCUCAACUCCAGAACUGCCUUCGAUACUGGAGAGCUCGAGUCCGGGAGAGGUGAGUGGAACUGCGAGUGUAGAGGUGAAAUUCGUAGAUAUUCGCAAGAACACCAGUGGCGAAGGCGGCUCACUGGCCCGGUACUGACGCUGAGGUGCGAA
rnacentral:rRNA from 1 species